rnacentral:lncRNA from 1 species
AUGUUUAUUCUCUUCCUUUAUCACCAUUUCACUUAUCUUAAUUUUAGAAAUUAUCAUAACUAUUACCAACACAUAUAAAGAUAUUUCAUACCCUCACUAUGUAAAAACUUCUACAUCAUAUGCUUUUAUAACCAGUCUCAUUCCAGCUCUAAUAUACAUUUACUAGGCCAAGAAAUAACCCAAGUAACUAUUCAAACCUUAAAACUAACACUCAGCUUCAAGUUACAUUAUUUCUCAAUAAUAUCUGUACCAGUGGCACUUUCUGUUACAUGAUCAAUCAUAGCAUUUUCAAUAUGAUACAUAAAUUUAAAUUCAAACAUUGAUUUUUAAAAUAUUUACUUAUAUUUCUCAUCCUUAUACAAAUUUCAGUUACUGCCAACAACCUCUGACAACUGGCAACUCUAUUGGAUGAGAAGGGGUGAGAAUUAUAUCAUUUUUACUUAUCAAAUGAUGAUACAGCAGAGGGGAUGCAAGUAUAGCAUCCCUCCAAGCUAUUUUAUAUAUUGCAUUGGAGAUAUCAGAUUUCUAUUAUCAAUAGCACAAUUUUUACUAUUCUAAGACACAUGGGAGUUUCAUCAAAUUUUCAUGCUCAACCCCAACCCUAUAUCUUUCCAUUAAUUGGGCUCCUUCUGGAAACAACUGGCUAAUCUGUCCAAUUUGGCCUUCAUUUAUGAUUACCAUCAACAAUAGAAGGCCCAGCACCUGUCUCAGACCUACUCCAUUCCAGCACAGAAGUUGUAGCAGGAUUUUCCUAUUAAUCUGCUUUUCACCUACUCAUAGAAAACAACAAAACAAUUAAAACACUAACAAUAUGCUUAGGUGCUGUUAACACUUUAUUCUCAGCAAUUUGUGCCCUAACACAAAAUGACAUCAAAAAGGUCACAUUUUCCACAUCAAGCCAACUAGGUCACUAUUGGUAUUAAUCAACCACAUCUAGCAUUUCUCCAUAUCUGUACACAUGCAUUCUUCAAAGCUAUGCUGUUUAUAUGCUCCAGAUCCAUCAUUCAUAACCUUAAUGAUGACCAGGAUAUUAAAAAAAUAGGAGGCCUCUUUAGAGCUACACUCUUCACCACUUUUUUGCUUAUUACUGUAAGCCUCACAUUUACAUGUAUGCCUUUUCUUACAGGCUUCUACCCCAAGGAUUUAAAUAUCAAAAUUGCUAACACAUCAUAACCUGAGCGCUUUUAAUUACACUUAUCGCCACCUCCCUAGCAACUGUCUAUUGCAUUUGAAUUAUUUCCUUUGCAUACCUAGGACGACUUCACUUUUAAACUUUAAUAAAUAUCAGUGAAAACAACCUCCUCCUAAUUAAUUCGCUAAAUGUUUAACAACUGGUAGCAUUUUCCCUGGAUUUUUUAUCUACAACUGUCUUAG